rnacentral:lncRNA from 1 species
GUUAAAGCUGAAGCACAAAGGAUAAGGAGAUGGGAGAGACUUUGCUGGGUAUUCACUCCCCAUGAAUGGAUAGCACCUGCCAAGAGGUGUUCCUGUUGUGUCUCCUGAGAAAUGUCUGGUUUCUGAUACUAGAGAAGUUCACAGGGAUAUGAGGAACAAGUGGCACCCUCAGUCUGUGCAUUCUGCUACAGGAAGUGAACGCUGAGCAUUCCGAUUCAGAUCGCAAAUUAGUGAGUUUAGCUACCCAAGCACCAGUGGCAGUGCUAGUAAUAAACCCAGGUGUAUUGCUAUCAAGUGACUGCAUUAGAUCCAUAUACUCUGAAAGAUUCACUUCAGCAUUAAAAGACAAAUGAUUGCCUUACAAUAAGUAAGAAGUACAUUUAUAACA